rnacentral:rRNA from 1 species
AAGUCGAGCGGAUGAGUGGAGCUUGCUCCAUGAUUCAGCGGCGGACGGGUGAGUAAUGCCUAGGAAUCUGCCUGGUAGUGGGGGACAACGUUUCGAAAGGAACGCUAAUACCGCAUACGUCCUACGGGAGAAAGUGGGGGAUCUUCGGACCUCACGCUAUCAGAUGAGCCUAGGUCGGAUUAGCUAGUUGGUGAGGUAAAGGCUCACCAAGGCGACGAUCCGUAACUGGUCUGAGAGGAUGAUCAGUCACACUGGAACUGAGACACGGUCCAGACUCCUACGGGAGGCAGCAGUGGGGAAUAUUGGACAAUGGGCGAAAGCCUGAUCCAGCCAUGCCGCGUGUGUGAAGAAGGUCUUCGGAUUGUAAAGCACUUUAAGUUGGGAGGAAGGGCAGUAAGUUAAUACCUUGCUGUUUUGACGUUACCAACAGAAUAAGCACCGGCUAACUUCGUGCCAGCAGCCGCGGUAAUACGAAGGGUGCAAGCGUUAAUCG